rnacentral:lncRNA from 1 species
UUAAAAAUAAAAUUUAUUUGUAUGUGAAGGAACGUUAGCACCAUAGGAAUUGAUCCCGCGACGUCCAUCGCACUAAAACAGCGUGCUAACCACCACGUCAAGCGUUAAGUUGUGAUUCAAAGAGGCCACUUAAUAAGUAUAUCAUAUUUCUUUUUGAGCUAUUACCUUAGUGCAACUGUCCCACGUCGAAGCCACAGAACAAAUUUGGUAAGGAUAAAUACUUUUUUACUACCAAAUUCAAUCGUGCGUGAAACGCACGUAGCAGUGUGGUUUUGUGAUGGAGGAGCACGUGCGUUUGACAAUGGGUGCCCAUUGUAACUCGAAAAAUUACAAAAAUGACCCUUGUGACUCUUGAUGUCAUGCGCAUACACAAAACCGGACGAGUUAUUACGUCAUCUGGCCACAGAUCCGAGCGGGUCAUUAUGUCAUCCGGCGAUUCACUGUACAGAAUCGUCGGUUUUUCUCUAGAACUUCGAUUUUACAAAAGAAUCGACACGGGAUGAUUGAUUCCAGGUUCGAAUCGGCCGAUUCUUUACCGACCCGACGAUUUUUAAAACGCUGGUUCUAGUACCUUCCAUAAGAUCUUGAUGACUAAUUUAUAGAAUGGGUGGGUUAUUUCUCUCACCCAACAAGUCACUUAAAAUCAAUGGUGCAAAUUCAAUCUCACUAAAGUGGCAAACUAUAUGGAAACCUAAGGAACCCUAAUCUCAUUGAAAUAAUAUAUAAAAGGGUGCACUCGGCUCAUUUAAAACACACCUCUCUCUUCUCUUUCUCUCACAUCUCUCAUAGAGGGGCACGCCUCACCUAACGUCUCUCUCGCUCUCUCAUCUCAUAGAAGGGGCACACCCCGCCUAAACGUAGUCUAGGUUAUGAUAGUCUAUCUCCCAUCUUCUAUCUCUCUCAUGGCCUAAGGGUUAAGGUUUUAGUAUUAAGAAGCUCAUCUCUCUCAUUUAGGUGAUCGAAGGGUAAACUUUAGUUUUGAGAUCUAAGCCUUGUGAUAAAAGUUAUUGUUUUGUUGGAGGUUUGGCCUAUAUGUUUUCCCAUCUUGGAGAUUGAGGUUUACCAUUGAUCUUGCACUAUUGGAGGUGGUGAUUCGGUGUGGGGUGUAUUAAGCCCGGUUGAGGUAAUCUCCGACAUCUUAUUUCUUGUUUCUUGCCAUACUUAUUGCUUUUAUCUUUAUUAUUUCCAAUAUUAGUAUUAUGGUUUUGAUUGAUUAAUGAAAGAGUGGUUUUAGUGGUAUCAAGUUGUAGAUCCUAGUUUUAUUUUUCUUUAAUUGUUUCAAGUCAAUUUAUUCUAACGGACUACUUGUA